rfam:Homo sapiens chromosome 3, GRCh38 reference primary assembly.
CAAGUACUGGUCUCAGCAGAUUGAGGAGGGUACCACAGUAGUCACCACGCAGUCCGCUGAGAUUAGAGCUGC